AGCCCCGAGGCAGACUUAGUGAAGGUGUGGCGUUUGUUUCUUUUCAGCGUAUCAGUUACCAUACUUUACUCCAUUCUGGCAAUAUAAUUUAUACGUACUUUCACUGCUUUUGUGCUACUGUUGAUUUGGUCGCAUAUUUUCGAAAGAACUUCAAGGGAAGUAUCGAAGUCAUGUCUGCACAGAUGUCUAAUCAUAUUUCUCAACUUCGGCGACAAAUCGAAGAAUUAAAUUGUCAUAUGAACAUAAGACGAACGAUGGUUUCUGAUGCAUCGCAGCAGUUGAUGCAAUUUGUUGUUGAGAAUGAACAGCGGGAUUAUCUUGUUGUUAAACCUCCAGACAACCCGUUCAAACCCAAAAGUACAUGUCCGUUAUUAUAGAUGAUCUUUUCUGGAAAGAAACUUUUUACAACUACACUAAUUUAUCAGACUUUGUAUUUGCGAGGGGUUGGACGUGGUAGAGUAUCUUAAAGUUGUUGAAUUGCAGUUGACAUUGUUUUUUUGAUUGUUUAUACCUGAAGCUCUUUUAUCUCAAUCAUGUCAUUUUCUGUUAGAAGGUAAUCUUUUGUAUUUUGUUACCUUUUUCAUGGUUUAGAAUGGACUGUACUUUUAUGAGGCCUUUUUCUUUUUACCUGUGAUGUGUCGCGGUACUUUAAUAUAGUAUGUUUGUUGCCUUUCCCAAACUAUUUUGACAGUUCUAUUGGAUGGUUUAGCUGAUGUUGUUGAAAUGAAUCGAUGGUUCCCAUCAGCAUGAGUACUGUUCAGUAUUAUAGGCAUGGCAUUUGUAAUUUAUGAAUACAUGCUGGGAUAGCCAAAAUAGUAGUCUCGUCAGGUGAUGGUGUCAGGUUUCAGUCCCUUUUUUUUUGCAGCUACACAACAAUACAAUAAUGAAUUUUCUGUAAUAGUCAUGGUUACCAUAUUUUACGGACCUUCGGGCACACUGAAUUAAUUGCUUAGAUUGGGUCUUUAUUCAUACAAGAGGCGCAUCAGGCUAUAAGACUCAACGUUUUUGAAGCAAUGCUUGAGCUGGUUUUGAGGGCAGGCAAUGAAGCACUACCUGAUCCAUACAUUAGGCGCACAAUCGAUUUUUGAGCAAAAAGGGAUUUAAAGUGCGCCUUAUGGUCUGUAAAAUAAGGUUCUGUCAGUCUUGAUCAUACAUUUUACUCUCGAUAUUGUGGAGACCGUUUAUAUAUUUACUGUGUUGUAUAAUAUUUUAUAUGAAGUGUUUUGAACUUUGAAGUCAAUUCACUUAGUUUUGCAACCCUCAUGAAGAUGUGUUAUAUCCAGAAGAUGAGUUGCUCUGACAAACUGAGAAAAUUUGGACAAUAUGGGGAUCGUAAAGGAAGGGGCUGGUUGAAUUUUAAUUUUGAAGUGAGUGCCACUAGUCUAGUGACAAUACCUACCAAUUUAUUGUAUCUUGGAAAAUUGGAGUGUGCCAAUUACAAUGCAAUUGCGUACUGUUGAGGAAAACAUCCAGUGUUUGUGUAUUUUAUCAUAUAUAAUAAAAGUACAUCUAUGUUUC